UUAUAGUCACCGUGCUGCCGCAAAAUCGGCAGUCGGGCGUAGGAACCCGUGUU
rnacentral:ncRNA from 1 species